UACGAAGGGGGGCGAGCGUUGUUCGGAUUUACUGGGCGUAAAGGGCGCGCAGGCGGCUCAUUUUGUCAGGCGUGAAAGCCCCGGGCUUAACCUGGGAACUGCGUUUGAUACGGAUGGGCUAGAGUUCGGGAGAGGAGAGUGGAAUUCCCAGUGUAGAGGUGAAAUUCGUAGAUAUUGGGAAGAACACCGGUGGCGAAGGCGGCUCUCUGGACCGAGACUGACGCUGAGGCGCGAAAACGUGGGGGAGCAAACAGG
rnacentral:rRNA from 1 species